GUUCACCGAGGACAGCACACGUCACACUCCAGCACCAUGUAGCCAGUUUGGUACCUGGCUCCUAAACUACAACUCCACUCACGAAUUAAAAGCAGCUUAAAAUGAAUUGGAUGGGACAGAUGGAACAGAUGAACAGAUUAGCAUCUUGAAAUGAAGCAGGAUAUGUCCAGUUCACAAGUGGAAGAUCAAGCUUUGAAUGGAGUCAAGCAUCGGACUUAAGCCUUUCUCUUAAAUCGGAAAAAGAAUACAAGAUUUUGUGAGUACUGCCGCAACCGCACUGCGUACAGACUGAAAAGAAAGGAAAACGACAAUCACAUCAAGUCUCUGUCACCAUAAAAUCGACUGAUGUAGAAGAAUCUGAGGACCCAAACAAAAGAUAACCAGCCACUCAGCCAAGAACGUACAGGCGACCACACAUCAAAGUAAUACUCGUACAUUACUGCAAAAUAGCACUUGUUACAACUCCAUAAGGCCUACUGUCCAAAUAAACUGCUCAUGCGCACACUAUCGUCAAUUGACGAUUGCUUGCAUCUUGCAUAAAAACAACCAACUGUGUCCACAAACUCACGAAAGCGAGUGAGCUUUACUUGUACAUGCACAUAACGAUAGUGUAAUGUCUAUCAAAACUUUUGAAAAACGAACAGUAGCGAGCCACCACACAUGAAAAAGCUCACUCGCCUUCGUGAAUUGCAACAACUACUGUCAUUUACGUUCGUCAUGCUGUAUGCAUUAUGCAUGCAUUCGUCAACUGACGGACUGUGGACAGUGUGCCUUAAAUGCCACAGUAGUUACCUUGAUGUGCUGUCGUUUGUACCGGUCAGGUAAUUCUAUAAACUUGUACUUAGAGCCAAAACACAUGGUGCUUUUAGCAUCGGUGAUCGGCGAUUUAGUAGUCGCCUUUUAGAAGCUGCGAACUCCCACUUACUCCGCACAAACGUCAAACGCAGUGAUUGAGUCGCUUUUCGGAAGCUCGAUGCAGCGACAACAGUCGCUAAAACGCGCUACGAAAUCGCAAAAUCGCGAUGCUGCAUCGAUACAGUCGCAAAAUCGCCGAUGGCCGAUGCUAAAAGUGGCAUAUCUGCUGUUGCCCUUGCCCUUUACAAAGGUAUUUACAAGCAUGUCUCGGUGAAACUUCAAAAUGAUAGAGCUGGCAUAACGAUGAAUCUAAAAAUUCAUACCGAUUAGAUAAAUAGGAUAUUAUGUGAAAGAGGAAAUAAUAUUCUCCACACAUGGCGCUUUAAUAGAACAUGACCAUAUUAAGUGAUUUCAAUGAUUGUUCAAUGGAUAUCCUUACAUAAGUAAUCUUUAAUUAGCUAGGGUAUUUAGGGUCCACUGCAGGAACACGACCCUCUCUAAUGUACCAGAGGCAAUGGAGGAUUUGGCCUGCAGACAGGCUUUAUUAUAAUCACUAGCUUUCCACCCGUGGCUUCGCCCGCGUAGAUUUUGUCUGUCACAGAAAAACUUUAUCGCGCGCGGUUAUCAAAAACCGGGAUAAAAACUAUCCAUGUCCUUUCCCGGGACUCAAACUAUCUCUAUGCUAAAUUUCAUUAAAAUAGGUUCAGUAGUUUAAGCGUGAAAGCAAGACAGACAGACAGACAGAGUUACUUUCCCAUUUAUAAUAUUAGUAAGGAUUAGCCGUGUGGUUCCGGCAAAAUAGAAUAGGACCGCUCCCAUUCUUCCCGUGGAUGUUGUAAAAGGCGACUAAGGGACAAGUUGGUAGGCACGGUCAGCGUCAAAUAGUUCGUGAUACUCAAAGUGGCCAAAAAGUUCGCAAUACGACAGGUUGUUGUCAACGUUUUGGCCACUUUAAGGUAGCCUUUCAAACUAAGCGUCACAGACGCAGAGUCUAUAACUUUGGUCUUCUGCCACCAACGCCGCGUCACUAACUCGCUCCGAAAGGCUACCUUUUAGACCAAAGCUAAAGACGCUGCGUCUGUGACGCUUAGUUCGAAAGGCUACCUUUAGGUGUCAUGAACUUUUGAAGCUGAUUGUACUGCAACUGACCAAAAAUAUUGUUGGAUUAUUCUGAACUAGUACUAACAACUUAGCCUAGUAAUCUCAUCAAUGACGCUACGACUUAUCAGUCUAGCAUGAAGUGCCACUGACCUAAGUGGCACCUCCAAAAACUAAGGAACAAGUUCUUCGUUCUGCGUAAAUCACUCUUAAGCUAAUAAUCUCGUUUGGUAUUGGACGGUUUAGUUUAGAUUCGCUAGCACGAAACACACAAGUCUUAUUGUGUGCUUCUUACUAGUAGGCUUAGGUUUAACAAUUUUAAUUUUACAUCUAGAUGGUAUUGAGUAAGAUUUUAGUGCCGUACCGCAUUGAGCGCGGUGGCACUACCAAAAAUUGUCGUUUAAUGGGUUAUUUUUAAGUUACAUAAUUUCUUAUACUAACUUAAGUAAUAAACACAUCACAGACGCUAUGACUAGAGCCAAACUAGCACGAACUACACAAUCCCUAUCGUGUGGUCCUUACUAGUAAGCCUAUUACAGUCGAGUAAACUCGAUUGGGUUAUAAGUGCUGCCAAGAAAACUUUAACACCGCGAUUCAACUUACGCACAGCGCCAUCUAUCGAGGUUGCGGUGAUACAAAUUUCAUGACAUAACCUAAGCUAAGCCCAGGUUAGGUUUUUUCCGUGGGAGAGCCACGCUUCGGCACGAAUGGGCCGGCUCGACCGGAGUGAUACCACGGCCUCACAGAAAACCGGCGUGAAGCAGCACUUGCGCUGUGUUUCGCCGAGUGAGUGAGGGUACCGGAGGCCCAAUGAGGUCUUGUUGUGACUUCGCUAAUGUUGCGGGUCUGUAGAUGCUUGGCUUCUCAACAGCCGGCAGCGAUCGCUUACCAUCAAGUGAUCCGUCUGCUCGUCUGCCACCUAUGACAAAAAGGUAGCUACUUAAAUUAAAGCUAAUAUUCACAACCAAAUUGAGACACUAUUUCCUCUUCGGCUUUAGAUCCUGGCUUAGUUUACACCCGCUAGCACGAAUCACACAAGUUUAAUCGUGUGCUUCUUACUAGUAGGCCUAUGAGUAUUACAGUCGAGUGAACUCGAUUAAGAUUAUACUGUCGUGUAAACCACACAGAGCGACAUCUAGAUAGAAUAGAGUAAGAUUUUAGUGCCGUACCGCAUUGGGCGCGGUGGCACUACCAAAAAUUGUCGUUUAAUGGGUUAUUUUUAAGUUAGUCUAAGAGACUAACUUAAAUAAUAAACACAUCACAGACGCUAUGACUAGUACCAAACUAGCACGAACUAUGCCAUGCGCAAGGCUCUUACGAAGCACGAAGCCAAAAUAAAAACAAGGAAAAAAAUAAGAAAUAAGUCUAUCUUCCCACCCAGAGUGUAUGCUGUGAAAGCCUGAAUAAAACUACACAAUCCUCAUCGUGUGGUCCUUGCUUGUAGGUCUAUUAUAGUCGAGUAAACUCGAUUGGGUUAUAAAUGCUGCCAAGAAAACUUUAACACGCGAUUCAACUUACGCACAGCGCCAUCUAUCGAGGUUAUGGUGAUACAUAUUUCGUGACAUAACUUAAGCUAAGCCCAGGUUAUGUUUUUUCCGUGGGAGAGCCACGCUUCGGCACGAAUGGGCCGGCUCGACCGGAGUGAUACCACGGCCUCACAGAAAACCGGCGUGAAGCAGCACUUGCGCUGUGUUUCGCCGAGUGAGUGAGGGUACCGGAGGCCCAAUGAGGUGUUGUUGUUACUUCGCUAAUGUUGCGGGUCUGUAGAUGCUUGGCUUCUCAACAGCCGG